rnacentral:rRNA from 3 species
UUAAAUUGAAGAGUUUGAUCAUGGCUCAGAUUGAACGCUGGCGGCAGGCCUAACACAUGCAAGUCGAACGGUAACAGGAAGCAGCUUGCUGCUUCGCUGACGAGUGGCGGACGGGUGAGUAAUGUCUGGGAAACUGCCUGAUGGAGGGGGAUAACUACUGGAAACGGUGGCUAAUACCGCAUAACGUCGCAAGACCAAAGAGGGGGACCUUCGGGCCUCUUGCCAUCAGAUGUGCCCAGAUGGGAUUAGCUAGUUGGUGAGGUAACGGCUCACCAAGGCGACGAUCCCUAGCUGGUCUGAGAGGAUGACCAGCCACACUGGAACUGAGACACGGUCCAGACUCCUACGGGAGGCAGCAGUGGGGAAUAUUGCACAAUGGGCGCAAGCCUGAUGCAGCCAUGCCGCGUGUAUGAAGAAGGCCUUCGGGUUGUAAAGUACUUUCAGCGGGGAGGAAGGUGUUGUGGUUAAUAACCGCAGCAAUUGACGUUACCCGCAGAAGAAGCACCGGCUAACUCCGUGCCAGCAGCCGCGGUAAUACGGAGGGUGCAAGCGUUAAUCGGAAUUACUGGGCGUAAAGCGCACGCAGGCGGUCUGUCAAGUCGGAUGUGAAAUCCCCGGGCUCAACCUGGGAACUGCAUUCGAAACUGGCAGGCUUGAGUCUUGUAGAGGGGGGUAGAAUUCCAGGUGUAGCGGUGAAAUGCGUAGAGAUCUGGAGGAAUACCGGUGGCGAAGGCGGCCCCCUGGACAAAGACUGACGCUCAGGUGCGAAAGCGUGGGGAGCAAACAGGAUUAGAUACCCUGGUAGUCCACGCCGUAAACGAUGUCUACUUGGAGGUUGUGCCCUUGAGGCGUGGCUUCCGGAGCUAACGCGUUAAGUAGACCGCCUGGGGAGUACGGCCGCAAGGUUAAAACUCAAAUGAAUUGACGGGGGCCCGCACAAGCGGUGGAGCAUGUGGUUUAAUUCGAUGCAACGCGAAGAACCUUACCUGGUCUUGACAUCCACGGAAGUUUUCAGAGAUGAGAAUGUGCCUUCGGGAACCGUGAGACAGGUGCUGCAUGGCUGUCGUCAGCUCGUGUUGUGAAAUGUUGGGUUAAGUCCCGCAACGAGCGCAACCCUUAUCCUUUGUUGCCAGCGGUCCGGCCGGGAACUCAAAGGAGACUGCCAGUGAUAAACUGGAGGAAGGUGGGGAUGACGUCAAGUCAUCAUGGCCCUUACGACCAGGGCUACACACGUGCUACAAUGGCGCAUACAAAGAGAAGCGACCUCGCGAGAGCAAGCGGACCUCAUAAAGUGCGUCGUAGUCCGGAUUGGAGUCUGCAACUCGACUCCAUGAAGUCGGAAUCGCUAGUAAUCGUGGAUCAGAAUGCCACGGUGAAUACGUUCCCGGGCCUUGUACACACCGCCCGUCACACCAUGGGAGUGGGUUGCAAAAGAAGUAGGUAGCUUAACCUUCGGGAGGGCGCUUACCACUUUGUGAUUCAUGACUGGGGUGAAGUCGUAACAAGGUAACCGUAGGGGAACCUGCGGUUGGAUCACCUCCUUACCUUAAAGAAGC